UCAGUUACACAUAAUUUAGAGUUUCCCACCUAAAAAUUUAGAAUAAUUAUUGCAGGGGGCUUUAAUCUAAGUGGGAAAGAGCUUUAUAUUAAAUAAAACCACUCAAAGCACAUAAACCUUUUUACCUUUUUUUUUUUUUUCUUUUUUGAGAUAGGGUAAAAAGCCCAGGUUGGCCUCGAACCUUUCUGCCUUGGCCUCCUGAGAGCUGGGAUUACAGGCAUACACCCCCAUGCCUGGUGGGUAAAAAAUUUCAGGAAAAUGUACUAAGGUUGCAAAAAGAAAAAAAUUUUUAUGAGCACUGUCUGAGACACCUUUUGGAAAUCCUAGAUCCCUUCAAAGAGAUCAAGUAAAUUAACCUUCAAGGAUAGAUCCACUCUUUUAAGCAGCCAUAGCAUAGGGGUUCUCUCCAUUAACAGCGCUUCCCAGGGAGAGGCCUGGGGUUCAUGGGUGUGUGGCUUCCUGCAGAGUCACUUGGCUGAGGUAUCAUGAGAAAAGCAGCUUCCAGGAAACGUGGCAGAAGUACUCAGGGGAGGAUUUCCACAGGCACAAAGUUAAUCCAGACAAUUUGAACAGGAUCGGCCUCAUGCUGUCUUAAAAUUGCCCGGGGUAGCCUGAGGUAGUACCCAAGUGGGAAGGAAGGCUGCUGGUUUAAGUAAAAUCCCAGGGCCUUGUGUGGAGUGGCUGCCCCUUCUUGAUGAGAACGAUGGGCCCUCUCUCUGGACUGCACACACUCAUGGGCACACGCACACACGCACCCCACACUCCCACAAGGAGCAUGGCUCCCUCUGAGUGCAUCUGCUCUGGUUGUCAUAGCAACGCUGUAGCCAACUUCCCAGCUGAACUUUUACCAGACACAAGCACAUUUUCCUGCCCUGCCCUUCACUGGGCAGAGCUGAGACGGACCAGAGUGUGGGCUGUACUGAAAGGCCUCUACAGUGGUCGGUGACCCCAGGAAGGGAAGGCCGCCCCACUUGUGUGGGCUGCUCUACCAGACAGGGCCUUAUGACUCACGGAGCCCUCUUCAGACAGCAGGACUGGGUGCUUAGGUAUUGUCUUUCCGGACGACAGUGAGGGAAGUCUGAGCUAAACAGAAAAUACCGGCUCUUGCCUCUCGGAGAAUACAGAUACAGCACAGAGAGUAAUGCACUCGCUGCGUGUGGGUGUUUUGACUGGGGAUGGUGUCUAUGCACUGGGCAUGCCUGAUGCAUCACAUCUCCUGGAGCUGGAGUUACAGCUGCCAAAUGGGGGCUGGGAAUCAAACCUGGUGACCACAGCAGCACACCUCCCUAAAUGACUGCACGCCAGGCUGGUGAACACUAACCUCCAAGACAGAAGUCACUUGUCACCCGGACUCUCAGAUACCCUGCCUCUAAGGCAGAGAAUGCUAUAUGCUUCCUCUGCCUCUGUCUGGGAUCUGAGACGUGAGCUGCUGCUUUGAACGGCUACCCGCUCCCUCUACUCCAACGUGGACUCCAAUCCACAACUCUAGGCCCUAAACCUUUCCUUCUGCAACUUGCCAAGGUCGGUGUUUAUCAUAGCAGGACAGUAACUAAAACACCUACCUGGAGAAAAGUUCGCAGCGGGAGCUUUAGCAUGAGACUCACUGGCUAUUAUUAGGCAAAACCUCCUGGGGGUGGGGUAGGGCUUGCAGAGGGAGAGGAAGGAGAUGUUGGGGGUGGGGGGGAAGGGGCUCUGGGGAGUGGCGCUGGAGAGAAAGUGGGGAACAGCUGCAGUGCUAAUCUUUCUGGGUUUCACCAGUGGUGGGCAGAGUCACUGUGUCUUCCUUUUUUGUGUGUGACGAGAUUUCUUUUUCUUCUUUUUCUGAGCUGAAGAUUGCUUUCGCCAGCUGAGGGUGUGAUUUAGGGGCUACUUCCAGUCUAAUGGGAUAAUUUAUAACCCAGUCCCUAAAAUCAAGCGGACUGCGGUUCUGUGGCUGAGAAUUGUAGAAUUUCAGAGCUGUGAAUUAAAUCAGGUCAAAUCCAAACAAACCAAGUAACGGCUGCAACAAUGAUAAAGCAUGGAGCCAAACACCCCGCGCCAACGUGCGGCAUCUAAGCCCCGCCCAGUGCAGCUGCAGAAUCCGUGGUUUCAUCGCAGCUACAGCAGGUAAAUGGUGCCCCCACACACCCAGCUGAGGAUUCUUCUCCACGGCCAGCACCUGCCAGGGCUGGCUUCUCUGCUGCCUGACUCUUCAGCACAAGAGGGAAGAGCCUUGCUCUGCGGCCCCAGGACUCACAGAACUUCCCGCGGACCAGGUUGAGGACACCUGGGAACUCCCCCUGACUCCUCCCCAUCUCCUACCGGGCUGGCCUUUCCUACAUCCUUUGUACCACCAGAACACCAGAGUUUUCAUCUGGGUCAGGGUUUCUUUUAAGCUGUGGGUUCAUGACUGAGUAUAACUUAUAAAAAGAGGGUGGGGGCGUGGCAUAUCAGCUACUCUUCCGUGUGCUGUUGACAAGAAGCAACGUAGGGAAAAAGAGUUUAUUUGUUGACUUACGUAAGAAAGUUGUCAGCCACCAUUCCAAACUGUUUUAGACUUUGCCCAUCCUAUGCUGCUGCUGCGGUUGCACACAGUCCAUCGGUACCAUCCAGGCUUUUGACACCCUAUUUUGUCAUUAGUUCUUUAUGAGCAACAGAAACUUUACCAACUGGUCAUUCGCUACGUAAUUGCAUUAUUGUAUUUUUGUGCACGGGUACAGGCACACACACCAAAGUGCACAUGUGGAGGUCAGAGGACAACAUGAGUCUGAUGUCAAUUAAAAACGCACCAGACACGAUUAUUUUCACAGAACUAUUUUGCCCGUUCCUACCUAAUUUAUCUUCAACGAGAUCAGAUCUCAAAGAUCUGAUCCAUCUGGGCAGUCACGCCACGGCUGGAUCACCUCUGCAGCUGUGUUGCUCCUUCACAAAGCACUGUGGGUGUUCGGAAGAAAUGAUUUUGUAGAAGUUGGUAAAUUGCUAGGUAAAGCCAUUUUCUGGGACAACGGUGUGCCUGACACUUUAAACAUCUGAAAGCUCCUCAGAUGGCAGGUGGAGGAGGUCAGAUAAUGUCCCUGGAGAUGGCUCCUAUUAGCUGGGCUCCGGGCAAUGUAAAAUACGAGGCGGGGUAGAGAGGAGGGAGGUUGCCGAGCACAUGCAUGCCCGCUGCUUUCCUCUGUGCAGCGGGAGAAAAAUUGAUUCUAGAAGGGAAACAUCCAGGCCCCGUGAGGAGCAUGUGAUGAGAGCUCAAAUUCCACUUCUCAAAAACAUUCCUGGCUCAGCCGGCAUUUGAAGCUUGGAGUUUAGCAUUUUUGAUUCGGGGCCCAUUUAAAUGUUAAUGAACGUCUUUUGUAAGUCACUAAACUCAUUUGGAAACAGUCUCGCUUGCUUGCGGAAGGCUUGGGAUAUGAUUUUUGUUGGUUCCUCUGGAAUGUGCUCUUUCCUUCAUGUGUUUUUUUUUAAAAGAUGCAUCGGCAGUAAAUAUGAAUGAUUUUAUUAAUAAUCGUGUUGCCUUUUGUCGAUGUGUGAGGGACCGUGCUGAGUCACUGACAACAUCAGUCCCCUCUGAGGCUGACUAAGCCUCAGAGAUGCUGAACAGCGGCCAGCAGCUCAGGUCUGUUCUGGCCAGCCCAUCCCGUUCCUGUAAAUCUUCUGGUGGAUGCCACCAGGAUCACAGACCACAUCGCUACGCUGGGCACCACUUGUGUGUGUGUGUGUUUCUGACUCUGUCUGUCUGUCUGUCUGUCUGCCUGCCUGCCUGCAUCUUUAUAUGUGUCUAUGUGCACAUAUGUGUCUGGUCUCUGUGCAUUGUAUGUAAUAGCCAUGAUUUAUACUCUCAGCAUAGACCACGCAGCACUUACAGCAGCCCUGGCACACGGGAGACAGCUUGCUACACGUCCGUUGAGUAGGAGGCUCCUAUUUCCUGGCUCCCCUGUCUUCCUGUAAACCAACAGCUCCUAUCUAUCCGUCCUUCUUGGAUUCAGCAUUGUUUUCAUCAUGUUCCUUUUAAUUCUGGGAGUGUCUCACGUUUGUUGUCCAUGCUAACCCCUCACAGUGACCUGGAUCUACGGUUGGGUAUGGCGUGACUUUCCUGUGGCGUGGCCUUCUCGUCCAUUUCUGUCUUAUUUCGUUCUUUUCCCUUCCCUUCCUAGGCUUCACCUCACCCUGUUCCUACUUUAUGGCUCACGCUCAACACUCUUAGGAACGCCAAAAGACGGGCCCUCUGCAUGUAAGAGUAUCUGGGUACGGAAAUUAGACUUGAUGGUUUGUUUUGUCUUACUGUUUUAAAUGUGCAUGAGCGUUUGCCUGCAUAUAUGUCUGUGUACCACUCGAGUGGUCGAUGGCUGCCGAAGUCAGAAGAGGCCAUCAGAUCGCCUGGAACUGGCGUUACAGAUGAUUGUGAGCUAACAUGUGGGCACUGGGAACUGAACCUUGGUCCUGUGCAAGAGUACCCAGUGCUCCUACCACUGAGCCAUCUCUCUGGUCCUGACAGACAAAAGUUCUGCAGCACAAAUGGUUGUGUUUAUAAAAAGGUAAAGAGAGAGGGGAUAUGUUUUGGUGGAUGUGUGGUGAGGUCUGGGGGAAAGGGGUGUCUCUGUGGGUCCAUGCUGAGACAUCCCUUCUCCCUGAGGGACCAGCCACAGGACAGUAUAGUAUAGAAUAGAGUUUAUUUAGGGCAUGGGGAGGGGAGUUGAGAGGGUAGUAGAGGCAGAGAAAGGCAGGGAGAUAUAGAGAUAGAUAGAUAGAUAGAUAGAUAGAUAGAUAGAUAGAAAGAAGAGAACUAGAAGCCAGCCAUGAGCAUGUGGAGAGCAAGGGGAGGGGGGAAUGGGGGAGAGAGAGGAAGCAAGAAGGCAAGAGCAAGACAGAGGGAACAAGCAGUCCCUUUUAUAGUGAGUCAGGCAUGCUUGACUGUUGCCAGGUAACCGUGGGGCGGAGCUUAGACAAAAUGCUAACACAAAUUAAUGAAGUAGAGCUACACAUAGAGCAAGAGUCAGACUUUCUGAAGAGUUUAGGCGUCUUUCGCUAAACACCAUUUUGAUCAGCCCAUUUGCUCAUUAAUAAUUUUACGGAGCUCCGUGCCUCUCAUUUUGUCCUGUUAAACUGGUCACAAUAUGUUCUAUACUAUGGCUGUCCCCCCCACCCCCCAAAGGACCGGCUCUUAAAGGUACUUAUCAGUCCUACGGAGUGCCUGCUGUCUAAUUAAUUAACUCCCGCUUUUUAUCACUGUCGGUUUCUCCUCUCUAUUUGAUGUUCUUUAUUGAAGUUACUGACUGGAAUUGGGAACUCGCGCACUUCUGCUCUGUUUAUUAAUAGCAUGAUGCGGGGAUGCUGAUUUUCUGUUUGGUUCUGAAAGCUUUGGAGCCCAUUCCACAAAUAUUAUAUAGUUAUUUAUUUCCCUAACUGGAUUUGGAUUUUCUCUUUGACCCAGGGUUCUGUAAUAUCUAUCUAUCUAUCUAUCUAUCUAUCUAUCUAUCUAUCUAUCUAUCUAUCUGGUUGGUUAUUUUUGAGGCAGAGUCUCAAUAUAGCCUGGGCAGUGCCAGAACUCUCUGUGUAGACCAGGUUGGCCUUUAACUCACUGAGAUCUACCUGCGUCUCCUCACGAUUGCUGGGAAUAGAGGUGUGUACCACCACACGCUGCUAGUUAUGUAGUAUUUUAUUUUUUUCCUCUGUGUCAUAGUGAAAUAUAAGCUAGUCAGGGCUACCUGAUGAGGCUCGUACACAGUGUGGAAUAUUGUAUAUACAUGUUUGCUCUAUAUAGAACAAGAGAUAAUAUAUGUUCCCUAUGGAGGAAACAUAAAGGUCUUGGAUAUUGAUUUUAUUUCAUCUUUUUAAAAGGUGGUUUUUUAAUUAUUUAAUUGUGUGUGUGUGUGUGUGUGUGUGUGUGUGUGAGAGAGAGAGAGAGAGAGAGAGAGAGAGAGAGAGAAAGAGAGAGAGCACCUGUGUGUUGGUAUGUGCACAUGUGCAUGCAGUACCCAUAGAGGCCAGAAGAUGGCAUUGGAUCCUUUAGAGCUGGGAUUAUAGGCAGUUGUAAACUCUCAGGCAUAGAUGUCAGACAAUAUUUCUUGUGUCCUCUGCAAGAGUUCCAAAAGGCUGAACCAUCUCUCCAAUCCUUGGACAUGGAUUUUAAACAUACUGCUUUCUUUAUUCAGCUUGUUUCAUCAUAAUUAGUGAAUUAUCUAAACUUUCAAAGAUGGGGAGAUGGUUAUUAACACUUAAGUUCACAUACAAUUUCACUUUUAGGUUGAUGUUUUGGUAUGGUUCUUUUUAUCUUCGCUUGAGUGAUGUAGAAUGUAUUUGUCCUUUUAAAUGCACCCUCUUUAUAGUUGGGUUUCAGUUUAAUUCUUGUUGACCAAGCAUGUCCCUCUGUGAGUUUGCAUAAUGAAGCAACACUUCUUGGAACAACCCUUUCUCUUUGACCCCAUUUCUGUUUCUGCUAUAUGGGCUCUGCUUACCUGUGGAUACCAGAGGUAUGUGGCCCUGGCUGGUGUGAUAUGUGACUAUAUAGCCCAGGCUGGUCUUGAACUCUUGGCAAUCAUUCUGCGUUAGCUUCCUGAGCAAUAGGAUUAUGGUAUGUACCAACUGCCAGGAAAUUCAACUUCGAUGACAUUUUAUUGUGUUACCGAAAGAUGUGAAGCCAUUUGGCUGGCUUAUCAAUACUGAUAAGUGUUAUCAAGGACAGGGAUCCAACCCCAGACUGUGCUGUUCAUAUGUCCUUGAAUCACACCCAACCCAAAAUUCCUUUUGAGUAUCACGGCGUGUUGCUCUUUUGCACUUUUGGAUUUUUUGUUGAUGUCGUUGCUUUGUUUGUUUGAGACAGAGUCUCCCAUGGCUUGAGACGGCCUGGAACUCACUCUACCAGCAAGGAUAACCUUGAACUUCUGAUCCUACUGCCUUCACCUCUUGGACAAGAACAAUCACACUGCCAUCCACAGAAAUCCUGGCAGAUGUGUCCUGUGCUGAGAAUGGACAUUUGGACCAACAGGAUGGAGAGGAGAUUCCACAAAUGAACCCUCCUGAUUCCCCCAUUAACACUGAUUCCAGGGCGCGAGAGCAGCGAGGGGCCACUGUGAACUGCUGUGGCUGAAGAUGCCAUGCAAGAAUAAAGGCAGCAGCACAUGCGGACAGUGUCGACUUGACACUAACUGUAGUGCCCCCUUCGGCCCCUGCUUUAGAGAACAGCAGACAGAUUUUGUAUUUU